rnacentral:lncRNA from 1 species
UUGGGUAUAGAUGGUCAAGCCUCGAGAACUCAGCAAGAGUAGCGUAAAGUAGAAUGCAUGGAAUGAAGGAGUAGGCAGCAGCCAGUGGGGCAACAUAUGACCCCAUCUUCGUCCUUCAUCUUCUCUCAUCUUUGUCUUUGACAAUAAUGAGGGAAUGGGACACAGGGAAAAUUGAGAGAAGAUGAUCAAGAGAAAUGUAAGGACAUGGAUAUAGAAGGAGAAGAGUUAGGAAUUUAUAAGCAAAAAGAAUGAGUUUUCUUUAAUUUCCUAAUUAUUUUAUUUUUCCUGGCAACAGAAAGCGAUGAAAAAGAAAAACUCUACAAUAAAAAUAAAAAUAAAAAGAGAGAGAGGGAAAGGAGAAACGGUUCAAGAUUUCUUGCUAGAGCCUGGAAGAAUUCUGCUUGCAUACCUGCAAAUCUUCAAGUUUCAUGUCCAGCUUAACUGACAGAGAGAAAGCAUCAAUUGAAUCCCAUAGUUUCGAUCCCCUUCUGAAUUGUAAUUGACCAAUUAGUGUAUACAUAAUUCAUUUAGAUAAGCAAAAACAGACACAUACAUGGAUACAAAAGUUGUGUCCAUUCAUAUACAUAUUUGAUGGCAGAUGUAUUUUGUUCUAUUUUUGAGGAAAUUAAU